GUAGGGAAUAUUGGGCAAUGGUCGGAAGACUGACCCAGCCAUGCCGCGUGCAGGAAGACGGCCCUCUGGGUUGUAAACUGCUUUUAUCUGGGAAGAAAAAGGCCAUGCGUGGCAAAUUGCCGGUACCAGAUGAAUAAGCACCGGCUAACUCCGUGCCAGCAGCCGCGGUAAUACGGAGGGUGCGAGCGUUGUCCGGAUUUAUUGGGUUUAAAGGGUGCGUAGGCGGCUGAUUAAGUCAGCGGUGAAAGACUUCGGCUUAACCGGAGCAGUGCCGUUGAUACUGGUUGGCUUGAGUGUCAGAGGGGUACAUGGAAUUGAUGGUGUAGCGGUGAAAUGCAUAGAUACCAUCAGGAACACCGAUAGCGAAGGCAUUGUACUGGCCGACAACUGACGCUGAUGCACGAAAGUGUGGGGAUCGAACAGGAUUAGAAACCCGAGUAGUCC
rnacentral:rRNA from 1 species